rnacentral:sRNA from 1 species
GUUUUUGGAAGAAGCUGACCGCCUGAAAAGAAAUUAUAAAACAUGAAAAUCGCUUUGAGGUGACCAAGUCCAGAGGCCCCUAACUCCUCCCAAGCUGGAUCUGGGGUGUAAGAACUGUAACUUCAGAUCAUCCAAUGGCAGACCAGAGAAUGGACAUUUCUUCAACCAUCAGUGAUUUCAUGUCCCCGGGCCCCACCGACCUGCUUUCCAGCUCUCUUGGUACCAGUGGUGUGGAUUGCAACCGCAAACGGAAAGGCAGCUCCACUGACUACCAGUAAGGCCUUUGGGGCAUGUCUUCCUCUUGUUAAACUUGGUGUCAGUUCUCGGGCAUGGAACAUCUAGCAGCCAGCUACUGUUUCAUCCUGGAAAAGGGGAUGGGAAUAAAAAACCCAACUCUAGGUGGCGACACAGUUGGUUUUUGGCUUUAACCUUCCCCUAGUUUGUAAGCAAGAAGGAGC